rnacentral:misc_RNA from 1 species
CCCGCCCACAGUUAGUAAAAGAGUCCUCCGAGGACGGAGAAAGCUGUCGACACUUCUUCUUCCUCUUAUCUUUUUCAUUCCCUCUUGCAUUGCAUGACACUUGUCUUCUCUCAUUGCACUCACUCUUCUCUUCUUUCAUUGCCCUCACUCUUCUCUUCUGUGAGACUACCAUGGUACCAACCUUCUCAUCUCUCCUCCAUUGCGUUGUCCAUCCUCGCCUGACCUCUGCGGCUUUGCCUCCUCCUCAUCACUCGGUGUGGGUGUGGCCAUCCUCGUCCUCUUCUUGCAACCGGUGGCCCCAAUCUUUAUUCAGCCAGUCCACUCUUCUUCUUUUGUCAAGUGGUUCUUUAGUCUCACUUUUUCAAUUUUCAGAUAAUGUUUGUACAUUUACAUGUUAUUGCUUGGUUUGUAAUUUGUAUAAUUUUGUAAAAUGUGUGUGGGG